AGUGAACGCUGGCGGUAUGCCUAACACAUGCAAGUCGAACGGACGGACAGUAAGAGCUCGCUUUUGAGGGUAGCGCGUGACGGAUGGGUGAGGAAUAGAUAGGAUUCUAAUUAUUCGUGGGGGAUUUCGUAGGACAACUUACACUAAUACCGCAUACUACCUACGGGUGAAUGCAGAGGUUAUACAUACCUUGCGCGAUUGAAUGAGACGGAGCCGUGUUAGAUUGGUGAGUUGGUAAGGGAACGGCACACCAAGGAAACGAUGCAUAGCUGAGCUGAGAGGAUGAUCCGCCACACUGGAACUGAGACACGGUCCAGACUCCUACGGGAGGCAGCAGUAGGGAAUAUUCCGCAAUGGGCGCAAGCCUGACCCAGCCAUGCCGCGUGGGUGAAGAAGGUCUUCGGUUUGUAAAGCCCUUUUGUUAGGAAAGAAAAGCUGCAGAUUAAUCUGCGCCUGUCUUGACGUUACCCAAAGAAUAAGCAACGGCUAACUUCGUG
rnacentral:rRNA from 1 species